AUGGUGGAGUCGGUUCAGCUUCAUUGUUUAGUUCCAGCGUUGGUAUCAUCUGGUAUCUCAAUACUUGCUGCAUUUCCUUCACUCAUAUCUUGAUUCAUUAGAAAGAUUGGUUAUUUGUGAGAUUGUUUUUUUCUUAUAUCCUUUGCUUCUGUGUUGAUGUACGAUUAGGGAAUGACAAAUCUUUGGGAAUGCCACUGCUGAAUUGGAGCUUUAGCCUUACAAGGAGGAACACCUGAGCUGUAAGACCUUCAAUUUUAUUUACUGAAUGCUUGCUUUAUACAAGUGUUUGAACUGAUAUUUGGUGACAAUGCAAGUUGCCAAAAGAUUUGUCAACACAAAGUCAAAGUAAUCUUCUUGAGCUCCUUUUUGGGUUCUGGCAAUUCAGUCUUGGUGGAGAAGUAAGUUACCUUUGACUUUGACUUAUUAUCAUGAUUUUAUGUUCAUAUAAUGAUUUUCCGCAUCCUCACCAUUUUUCCCAUAUUUAUCAAUGGGAUUAUAUAAAUCCAGAAUUUGCAACAGAUCUCAAAACUCGUGGGAUAAACACAUAGAGCUGGAGGCAACCUUUGACAGUUUUCAUUCUCAAGCUAGAUUGGGUUAGUUUCAUGGUAGAGCUAUUGGAGUUGAUAUUUGUUAAGCUUUGGCCUGCAUUGCAACAAAAGACCAGCAGUAAAAAUUCAGCUCUGUCAAGCAGCAGCAUGUUCUGAAGUGAAGAAAUGAAGCUGGUCCGAAUGCAGCAACUUAUUUUGAGUGUUUUGUUCCUAUGUAACUUUGUCUAGUUCUUUUGUAAUUUGACAGCAAAGUUAGUAGGAUGAUUUGAUUGAUUUGUGUUGAUGUAAUAGCUAGUAUGUUAGCUUCUUUUAUGUACAAGUUAAGCAUGUUUUUGUUUAUGUAUUAAGUGGGAGCAGUUAACUAUUUGGUAAACUAUCCAAUUACCACUACACUAAAAUAAGUUUUUUAGCGGCGUUUUUUUUAUGCCUUUAGCGGCGCUUAUUUGUGGCGUUUUGAAAGCGUCGCAAAAAAUUGCCGCUGUCUAACGCCACAAACAUUUGCGGUGUUUUUUAGAAAUACACCAAUAUCCGGGCUUCUAUAGGAGUUGCUGAUGGGCUUUGUAGCCAAAACUGAAUUCGGGUAGUACACCUUUUCAUUAUCAAGUUUCAGGAAGACGGUCGUUAAAAUAUUCAUCUCCUCGACCAGCAACUGUUAGUUACCAUUACCAAGUGAUAAGCAUAAUUAGUAACUUUCCCAUACAUGCAUGUAAGAAUGUCAUUUUCAAUAGUUACCUGAACACCAUCAACCACACAACUAUCGCCGACAUCAAAAGGAUGCAUCACAAACACGAAUACUAUAGCUUCAAAAAUAGUCUUGCAGGUGUUUCCGAACAUAAAAGCAGCCACUACAAGCUGUGAUGAAAGGAGCAAAAGCAGUUUCUGGUUGCAAUUUCCAGCAAAAGAAGCCAUAUGAUGACAGUCACGAGUGUAUUCAAACUGAUUUACAGCUGUUUUGGUGUCACUCAAAGCAUGUACUAGUGUUUUCCGAUCCGUGUAAACCUUUACCUGUACAAAAUAACACAACGAGCAUGUUAAUAAAAAAAAAUCCUCAUCUGUAAGGAUGGUUUUCCUUCAUUGCAGCAACACACCUAUAGUGUCCGAUUGUGUUACAACCAUAAAAUACAACUUAUUUAAAUUCGCUCUGUCAAGCAGCAACAUUGUUCUGAAGUGAAGAAAUGAAGCUGGUCCGAAUGCAACAACUUAUUUUGAGUGUUUUGUUCCUAUAUAACUUUGUCUAGUUCUUUUGUAAUUUGAUAGCAACGUUAGUAGGAUGUUUUUUAUUGAUUUGUAUUGAUGUAAUAGCUAGUAUGUUAACUUCUUUUAUGUACAAGUAAGCAAGUUUUUGUUUAUGUAUUAAGUGGGAGCAGUUAACUAUUAGGUAACUGUCCAAUUACUUGUGUAACUCAUAUCUUUCAAAAUUUGAAUGAAAAAUAGAGAGUUUCAGUUACAUCUUUGCUGAGUUUUCAUUUUUCAGUUUUAUUCUUGCUUCAUUCGUUUUCUUUUGUUGCUGAAAAAAUCCAACAAUAUUUUAUUAUCUUGGAUUUUGAUUAUCAUAUCAGUUUGGGCCGAAAUUUCUUUUUAUGUUACUGCUCUCAUAUUGUUUGAGCAUUGUAGUGAGGAGAGAUUAAGAUUCAUACUUGAAUUCUUUUUGACAGGUGACUUGUUAUUGGCUGGUUUUGAUUCAUAGGAUCAGUGGUGGACAUCAUUCAGCUUAAUUGGUAGGUUCCACCAUUGGUACUCAUGCCAUAGGCAGCAAGUAGAGAUUUAAUCAUAUUGCAUCUCAAUACUAUCUGCAUUUUACUUCAAUGAUUUGUUCACCCAUUGAUUUAUGUUUCAUAUUUCCUUUGAAAGUUGGUAAAUAUAUAUAUAUAUAAUAUUCAGUUCAUGAUUUCUAAUUUAUAUUCAUGUUAGCUAAGGUAAACCUACCAACUAUUACCUAAAUAUAGUCAACAUAUUUUCGAGAUUGGUUAAUCUUAUAACCUAUGCUUUUAUAUUGAUCUAGGAGUAGGUAUUUUCUAUUUGUUAUGUUCUAUUUUUUUUUAUUGACUGUGAUCUGUAGAUUUCAUAAAACUUGCAUGAUAGUCAAGCCAGACACAGAUUCAAUAGUCUACUGGAAUUGAAGUUGCAGAUUAUGGGUGGUUUUUUGAUAUGUUCUUUCUCACCAAAAAAUGAAGUUCCCACAAAAUCCACAUUUAUAGAUGUGCCCUUUUACCUAGAGAUUAUUGUGAAGGGAAUAAAGAUGGCAAUGAUUGAUGUAAGGAAAGCAGAUGAGGGAAUAAAUAACAGAUGUUUGUAACAAGUAAGCUUUUAAGCUCUUCAAUUUCUUCUACUGAAUGAUUUAUUUAUAUUGUGGUUGGACUUAGAUAUUGAAGCAGUACUGCAACUUGUCAACAGAGUUGCCUUGUUUAUCCCAUUGAGAGGAAGCAUAUUCUCUUGGGUAAAUUACUAUUGACUCGUUCUGAUUAUUAGCAUCCUCAUGGCAUUCUUUUCCCCUGAUUUAUCAAUGGACCAUAUAAAUGCAUGUAGAAUUUGGCAGAGUUGCUCUCAUCUCAAAACUCGUUGAAUGAACACAUGGAGCCUGGAUGUUAUUUUCAAUGCCAACCCUAUCACAGUUUUCAUUCUUAAGCUAGAUUGAUGUUUACCCCACAGAGGAACCCAACAUAAACACCUGGAAAAAAAGAAUCCAAAUGAUUUUGCUUUAGUUGGAAAAUUCAAAAUGAAAAGUUGGUUUCAUGGUACAGCUAUUUGACUUGAUUGUUACAUCAGUUUGGGCUAAAACUUGAAUCAAUUUUCCCUUUUUGCAAUUAAAAUUCCAGAGUUCUACUCUGUUUUAGAAUUGGUUUGUACAUUGGUUCUGAUGGGAUGAUAUCCAACAAGUUCAAGAUUCGAAGCUUAGUAAUUAAAAUAAUUUUCUGUAAUCCUAAACUAUGAUAUACUAUAAGAAAAAAAACACAAAUUAUACAACUCUGAUUAUUUUAUAUUGCAGUAAUUACACAAAUUCAGGUCCAUUAGCAUUACAAAUUAGCUAGUGAUAGAUGUUGCAAGCUUGUAUCCACAAUUUUUAAAUAAAUUAAUCUCAUAUGAUAGAAAAUGAAGUGCUUAUAUAAAAACCAAAACUGGAUGAUAGGAGUUUAAAGUAUCUUAUUUAUCACCCACAAACAUAAAAAUUGUGCGUCGCAUAUCAAGUGGUGAAUUUUCAUGCUUUGGUGCAUUAUGAAGUUACAGCCAUAAGACUGUAAUCUGCAGAUUUUCCAUGAAAAUUCAACCAAGAGGAUGACUGGCAGUUUUGUAGCAUAGUAUUGAUUUUCUUUUUUGCAAUCAAUGAAUGAAGGUAAGGAAAAAAACACAUGAAAAUCAAUAUCACGUGAACUUAAUUGUGGGGUUUCGGGGACCAAAUAGUACACUAAUCAAUGGAACAAUUAUUUCACAGACUAGGCAAGAAAAACAGUCCCUUUAAAUUGGAUAUUCAUCUAAGGGUAGCAGCUCGUAUUACUAACAAAGAUCCAAAAUAUAAGAGAAUUUGAAUAAAAAAAAUAAAUUUAGACAAAAUUGAAGGCUUUUUUUAUUGAUUUAAGCUAGCUUGAUUUAGACCAAAGGUUCUUUUAUAAUUUGGGUGGGUUUAGACUAAAAAGUACUACUGCCAAUAUGUAAAUCGAGAGUAGAUUUAUUCAAGUGCCCGAACUAUUCAUUUAAAUUUGAAGGUUAAUCUAAAAUAUAAGAGAAUUUUGGUAAAAAAAAUAUGAGGUACGAAAAAUAGGUUUAGGAAGAAAUGUAAGACUCUUUUUCUUAUUCGAGCCUUGGAUUAGGACAAAUUAGCUAUGCUGCAGCCUAACAGAAACACUUUCAAUCUCAUCCCCAUUUAAUAAAGUCACUUUUUCUUCUUACCAUUCAAAAAGUAGAAGCAAAAGCAAAGCUCCCACGGUUUAUUUGUGGUCUUUUUCCUCAAUCUCACAAUCCAUAUACUUUCAUGGCGUCGUCUUCAUCUUCUUCUCGUCAAAUGAUACAUCAAAGUUUUCUUAAGCACCAAGGGCCUGGUAUGAUGGAAUUGAUGCAUAAUGACACAUAAUGACUAUGUCUUAGUUAUAAUGUAGAAUCCGCUCAAGGUUUAUGACUUAGUUAAAUCCUUAAUGCAUUGAUUUGAAAAAAUAAGAACAAAAGAAAAGAAAACAAUUUUUGUAUGUAAAAAUUCCUAAAAGUGCUCAAUUAGUCUAUGCCUAUCCUAAUAUAAUUAUUUUUUUAUGAGUUAUUUAAUGGAAUGUCUAUAAAUUUUUACGGGAUAAUAUUUGAUAAAUUAAUUUUUGUUAUCAGAGAACUGAUCGAAUUCAAGGAAUAAAGUUAGACAUGUCACAUAUGGAUAACCUAUUAUUCUAACCUUUUGUUUUGAAAACAUGAUUAAUCUUAGAUAUAUUUUCUUCUAUUCUCCUUAGAAUUUGUUGUGAAAAGAGCAUAAGUAUUAUAAGAAGCUACUUACAUACCAAGUUGAUAUUAUAUCUCUUCUGGAUGAGCUAAGGUAUCUUCAAUGGGAUUAUUACCCCUUCAAAUCUUAUCACCAAAUUUUAAUCCAAAAAACCUUGUUGUAUCGAGAUUAGCACAUGAAAAUAUGGAACAACUUUGGAACGAAGGUCAUCAAGUAUAUAUACUUUUAUACUUUCUUCAUCCAAUAAUUUUUAAGAAAAAUAAUUUAUAAUUGAUAUAAACAUUUAAUCUUUUGAUAGCAUAUUUUUAUUAAUUUUUUAAAAUAUAUAUAAAAGAUUUUAUUCUAUUUUUUUAUAAGAAGCAAUUUGAUAUUGAUGGUGGGUGAAUUAAUACACCCAAUACAUCAAAUAUAAAUUUUUAUUUUGAUAGAGUCUAAGUAAAUGAUGCUCUAACUACUUUAUAUUCUCAUCAUGUGCAGGAUCUUGUUCAUUUAUGGAAAAUUAAACUUUUUAGUUGCAAAAUUUAAAGAAGAUCCCUAAUUUAAUAGGAGCCCUCAACCUUGAAAGACUUGACUGUGAAAAAUGCAAAAGUUUGGUUGAACUUCCUUGCCUCAACCAUUUGACAUCACUUAAAACCCUUCACCUUAAGGGAUGUCGUAGUCUCAAGAAGUUUCCGGAGAUCCCAAAUAAAUUUUAUGAGUUAGAUUUAUCAUAAACCGGAAUAAAAGAAGUACCUGAUUUCAUUGAGCAUCUCGACAAACUUCAACGGUUGACCUUGACAAACUCAAUGGUAAAAGAGUAUCAAGCAAUAUUUCAAAGUUGAAAUCCCUUUCUUCUCUACAUCUUAGUGGUUGUGUAAUCGUUAAAUUUCCAAUUGUUGAUGUGCGCUCACCAAGCUUAAGGUUCAAAAGCCUUAUGUGUAAGCAUAUGGAUCGUUGCAAGAGCCUCAAAUUACUCUCAGAGCUUCCACCAUAUCUGCUCGACUUGAAUGUACAUGACUGCACGUCAUUAGAAAAAGUUCCCUUUGCAGAUCAAAAUUUAUAUCAGUUUGGUUCGUUAGGUGAUGAAGGUGAUGGUGUGUUUUGCAUGUUAUUCUGUAAUUGCUUCAACUUGAAUCAAGAAUCAACUAAUAACAUUGAGGCAAAUGCCAUGCUCAAAAUUGGAUCCCUAGCUAAGGAACGGGCAGCGACAUAUGGUAGGAAAUACCUGGGUGAUAUCCUUCCAAGUUUGAUUUGUUGUUUCCCAAGAAACAAAAUUUCAACAAAUAAGUUCAAGUAUCAGAGUAUGAAUUCUUCCUUAAGUUUGAAGAUAGCCCCAAAUGGGGGUGGUGGGAGCAGAUUUUUGGUUUUUGUUAUCUGCCUUGUGGCUGAUCUCGCUCACUGCCCUCGCUUGAGAAGUCUUAAAUGUAUUUGUGGCUACUAACUUACAGCCGCUGAUGGUGGUUAUGAAAAGUUCAAAAGUACCAUAUCUUUCUUGGAUGCUUCUGAGUCAGAGAAAUGCAUGGGUGAUCACGUGUUUAUUCUAUCUAGCAUCAAAAUGGUUAAAAGAGACGAGAAUUAUGAGGAGGCAUCAUUUGAUUUCUACAUCAAAAAUUUCCAUCAUUAUGAAGAAGCAGCAGAAAAAUUAUCAAGGUGGAGAGAUGUGGUGUUCUUGUAUUUUACGUAGAUGCAGAGAGUGAUGCUGAUGCUACAGAAAUGAGACCUGCCGAGACCAAAAGAAGCUUUAGCCAUGAUGGUGAAGAAGGGGAUGGAGGCCCUAAACGAUUUCAACAGUUUUUAUUUCCUUUCAUUUUUGGCUCUGGUUUUCAGUAGUUACAACUUCUCAAUCAUGUCAUCCAAAUGCAUAAAGGGGUUUUCAUCUCAUUCUUUCAUAUUACUCGAUUUUUUAUUUCAUUUUUCAUAUUGCCAUAUUUUUGUUUUUCAUAGGUGUUAAAACUAAAUUUUCAACUUUUAAAUUAAUUGCCUAUGAUAGAAAAUGAAGUGCUUUACUUAAUUAAAACCAACCAGGAUGAAUCUAACUUGCUCUGUUUAAAGUGUUAAGAGUAUAGAUAAAGACUCUAUUAGUCUAUUAGUUGUUAGUUUGUUAUACAAGCAGUUAUGCUGUUAAGUGAGAUUGUUAGCAGCAGUUACUCAUACACAUUUUAUAAAUACUAUAGUUGUACUGGUUAAAUUCAAGAUAAUAAUACAAAAAUCAUUCUCUGCAUAUUCUAUUUUUCUUUCAAGUUUUUGUAGAUAUUAACAUGGUAAACAUCGGACAACAAUGAUUGACAGAGGCAGCAACAUAUUCACUUGAUUAUUGAAGGUUAUGAAUUGACUGGUUUUUUUUGGAGGGAACGUUACCUGGUCUGCCGCAUUUUGUGCUGUCUUUGGAGGGAUCUCUAGUUCCAAAUCCGGAUGCCUCAGCAUUCUUUCAGCAGGAUAGGUUACUUGCCUCUUUCUGGUUAUUUUCUACUAUUAGUCCUUCACUGUUGUCUUCUUUUACAUAUGCUAGGAUGGCGUGCGAUGUUUGGAACACUGCCACUUGCCUCUUCACUACCGUCACAGGUGUCAAGUUAUCUUGCAUUCGCCAUGAUUUACACUCGCUUAAGAAAGGUAAUCUGUCGAUAAUGGAGUAGGUAGUAAAGAUUCAGAAUACCUGUGCUUUAAUCGAGGCUUGUCGAUCUUGGAUCUCGGAGGCAGAGAGUGUGGAUAUCGUACUUGUGGGCCUACCACCGGAGUUCAACGCCAUGCUCACCUUAGCGUCAUUCUUGUCGGAAGCCUUACCGUUACAACACCGCAUGGAUGAGUUGUUGGAGUAUGGAAGUCGCUAAAUUCGCGUGGUUCAGGAGGUGCCGUUUCAUGCUAACCUUUUGGAGACUAUUCCGUCACCGCCGGUGGUGGACUCUGUGCGUGUUGGCCGUCCCCUACUGGUGGUUGUGGGAAGAGGUUUCGAUCCAAACUCCAAUGUUAGAUCUGUGGUCAGUUUGGGCAUUAGCUCAACGUUUUUAAUAUUGUCAUAAUCGCGACUACAGUGGUUCUGACAUUAGCGGCCUGGGCUUCAAAUUCGACCGAUCGUACUAGGCAGGGUUCGGAUGUUGGUUUCUCAUUUCUAUCGCCCGCCUCUAGUCAGUUUGGUGGCCUUUCGUAGACGGCGCCAUCACGAUUUCUUUCUGGUAAAUGGUAGGGUGGUCACUUGUCUACUGCGCCUCCCCUGUAUAUGUCAUACACUAGGGUUUUUAACCCCUUUUUUUUGCGUUUGAUGAUGGAGCAGGCCUACCGCUUGGGCAUUAUGCUGGGUUAAGCCAACCAUUUGGGCUUGGUCAUGAGUAGCGGUUUGAGCCUGGUCAUGAGGCAGUUCACUGGGUUAGGUCCGUAUUUUGGGCUUGUAACUGGGUUCACUCGGCCAUUGGCCAAAAUCUUGGGCCGUCUGUGCGUGGUAGGCCAUCUGGCCCAUGCUAGGACUUUAGGGGUGAUUUUUCUCCAGUUGGGUCCACUGCUAAUGUUUCUCCAAAUGGGCCAACAUUUAAUUGUGUGGAGUUUACAAGCCCUCGUGGUCGUGUACGAGGGCUUGAGCCUUCAGAUGGUGGUGUUUGUACUACGUUUGGGUCAUAUAAUGGGUUGUGUAUUCCCUGGCAGAUAAAAAUAAGAGCUCGUGUUUAUAUUGGGUCAAAUCCAUGCAUUGGAUUGCCUCGAAUUCCUGAUUUACAUACGUCUAAUGUCUCUAACUCUACUGGAUCUAAUAUUAAUGCCACUCAUUUUGGGUCCAAUUUUGAUAAUGAUGAUUCGUAUAUUCCUAUACCUAUAGGAACUUCGUCUUGGUAUCUGGAUUCAGGGGCAAUGCCUCUGCUUUGAAUGAGUCUACACCAUACUCAAGUACAUUCCCUCUCUUAAUAGGUGAUGGGACUCCUAUGCUUGUAGGAACUUCACUUAUUUUUUAUGUAAAUUUUUAUAAAUAUAUUUGUUACGUAACUAUGUUAUUUGAAUGUGCUAGUGUCACGGGCCAAAGUCUAAAGCCCGUGACCAUGACACAAGAUGUGCCCCAUGGAGUUCAUCAAUUAAAUAGGGAACAUUUAGCCCACGAGAACUGGCUCGAUUCAAAGAAUUGUUGGAGAAGCCUGUCAGAUUGAAGCCUGGUUGGCCCGAUAAUGAAGACAUGGCAACUUAGGCUAAUUUUGGUAACUAAUCUUAGAAGAUAGAGAGAAUCAUAUCUUGCAAAGAUUAGAUUAGAUUUGAUAUGACAAAUAUUGUAAAUCCCUAAAAUUAAGGGAUAUGGUUAAUCUCGUCCGUUGAUGUAAAUGUAUCUUGAUCGUCGAUUUUAGGGGAGCUCAACUAUAAAUAGAGAGCCUCCCCUCAUUUGUACUCAUCCAUUGUAAGAUUGAAUUCUUAAAAGUAAUAGAAUUCAGAGAGCAUUUAUUCAAACACCUUGGGUGUGUUCUUUUCUGUGACUUUCUCUUGUUCUUUCAUUUUUCUUCUUUUGGCAUAAAUCGCUUCCGCUCUUCAAUUCGGUGCCUUGGAGGAGUUCUUAAGGAAUCUUCACUUUAGUAAAAGCUGACUUAGGCGAGUUUGGACGAACGGAUCGCCUAAGGCCGCACGGAUCGUGAGACGACAGUUCUAGCCCCGUGACACUAGAAUCUAUCUCUAAUUAAAGCCAUUAUUUAAGUGAUGAAAAAAAAAUAUUCUUAGUGAUGGAAUUUAAAUAGCUUAUUAAUGACAAUCUUUAAUAGAAAAUAAUAGCAUCACACAAAUGUUUAAAGAUGUGAGUUCGAGUUUGUUUAAAUGUGUCUUUUCUUUCUAUUUAAAGGUGAGAAAGAAUUACGUGUAGCUAUAGGCUUUGUAUAAAGAAAAGAAAUAAAUUUUAAUAUGUUUGAAAAUUCAACCAAAAAUCCAUUUAAUAAAAGGUUCCCACUGAUGAUGGAUCUAUAAUUUAAACUUUUCUUCUUCAAAAGGCAAACCAAAGCUCCCUUGCUAUAAAUUUUUCUCUUUGCCUCACUCACAUUAUCCAUAAUCUUUCAUGGCGUCUUCUUCAUCUUCUUCUCGUCAAAUGAAGCACCAAAUUUUCUUGAGCUUCAGAGGUGAAGACACACGCCUUAACUUUACCAGUCAUCUACUCAAAGCUUUGAAAGGCACAGGACUGAAUGUCUUCUUCGAUGAAGAAAAACUAGAGAAAGGGGAGCAACUUUCACAAGCACUUUCUCAAGCAAUUGCAGCCUCAAAUCUCUCAAUCCUUGUUUUAUCUAAAGGCUAUGCUUCUUCGAAAUCAUGCUUAGGUGAACUCUCUCAGAUCAUGAAGUGUAAAAAGACUCGAGGGCAUAUUGUUCUUCCUAUCUUUUACCAUGUUGAUCCCUCCCAUGUGCGAAAUAUUGGUGGGACUUCUAAGACAUCUGUUGUUGUUAUGAAUAAUAUGCAAGCAAAUUUUGCUGAGACUUGAGCAACAAGGCUCGAGGCUUGCAGAAGAAACAAAAAUGAAUUCAAGAGCAGAAUUAAGCUUUUGAAACACUAAAAAUGGAAGCUAAGAAGAGAGAGUAUUGGAUAAUGAAAUUUGAAUGAAUUUUCAUUAAAAUUAUCAAGUGGCUGGUCAAUGAGUUACAAAAUCAUCACCUAAACAAUACCUACUACCACUAAGCACAUUGAAACUUGAUAAAGUUAACUUGUACACUUUGUAAAGCUGAUUUAACAGCUCAUUCUUCACCUAAUAACAUCAAGUACAAAAGCUACUUAGUUUUUAAUCCAACUAAGUUACAAAACAUCACUUGAAGAAACAAAAUGGCAACAGUAGCUUGAUCUUCUGCUGCAACUUCACUGGCUCGGGCUGUUUCUGGUGCAACAAGGCAGCAUGCUGGCCAACUUCAACAACAUCCUUCGGAGAGCAUGAAUCAAAGAGGCCGGUUGAUGAAGUGAAGCGAUCAAAAGCCGCCUUCACUGAAGUCCGUACGUUAAAAGGGUGGCAUAUAGAAGGAGGCAAAUUCGAUAGGUAACUAUAUAUAUAUAUAUUCAUCUUAUUAUAUUUGACAUAUCUUUCUUUUGAGGGCUGGUUUUUUUAAUCAUUUUCUAGAUCUGAAACUAAGUACAUUAAAGAUGUGGUUGGAUAUGUUUUAAAAAAGUUGAAUAGCAAUUGUAGAAGUGUUUCUGAAGAAUUGGUCUGAACAGAUGAUCAAAAGAAGAUGAUUUUGGGGUUGAUUGAGCAAAUGGACGUGCGUGUAAUAGAUGAUUUUGGGGUUGAUUGAGCAAAUGGACGUGCGUGUAAUAGGACUUUGGGGAAUGGGUGGUAUUGGCAAAACUACCCUUGCUGAUGCUGUUUAUAAAGAAGUCUUUCCAAAGUAUGAAUGUCGUUUGUUUCUCAAAACAUUAGUGAGAAAAUAAAAAAACAGGGGAAUGAAUCUUUACGAAAUGAACUUCUUUCCAAACUGUUAAACGAAAAAGAAAUUUGUAUUGAUACCCCUUCCAUAGGUUACCCUUAUCAAGAGAGGCUGAAUAAUAAAAAAAGUACUUCUUGUCCUUGAUGAUGUUAGUGACCCAGACCAAAUAGAUUUUAUGGGUGUCACAUAUUUUGGUCCUGGAAGUAAAAUCAUUGUAACAUCUAGAGAUAGACAAGUACUAAAAAAUCAAAGAGUUCACCGCAUAUAUAAGGUUAAGAAGUUGAAUGAGAAUGAUUCUCUUCAACUUUUUUCUACAUUUGCAUUUAAGUUGUUGAAUCCUGCAGUUGAUUUUCGAGAUCUAUCAUGCAAGUUUGUAGAAUAUGUCCAAGGUAGUCCACUUGCUCUUAAAGUUUUGGGUUCUGAACUAUAUACGAAGUCGAAAAAAGAGUGGGAGGGCAAGGUGAAUAAACUAAAGCAAUGUGCAGAAUUUAAAAUUUCACAUAUUUUGAAGAGUAGCUUGGAUGAGCUCGAUGAGGAAGAAAAUAAUAUAUUUCUUGACCUAGCAUGCAUCUUUAAAGGGCAAGCCAUGGAUUAUGUAGAAAAAGUUCCAAGUAAUUGUUAUAAGGGUGCAACAUGUGGAAUAAGUAAAUUGGUCGACAAGUGUCUACUUGAGAACAAAUAUGGAUGUGUUUUUAUGCAUGACAUGGUUGAAGAGAUGGGCAAGGACAUUGUUAUGCGAAAAUCUGAAUGCCCCGGAAAGCGAAGUAGAUUGUGGAGUUGUGAAGACAUGGAAGAAGUGUUCAAAUAUGAUAAAGUAAGUGUUAAUUGCAUUUAUUUUCUUUUCACUCUUUGGUAGGUUUAAUAGAUGUUGUUGUGUACCAUGUAUUAUCUUUUUUAAUUAUUAUUUCAAAAAAUAAAAUUAUUUGUUUCUUACCAUAAACAUAAUGACCAAAUGUCUUACGAUACAACAAGGAAUUUUGUUAAAAGUUUUUUGGGUUAGUUAAAUAUCUAAUGCAUUUUUAUGACUGAUUUAAUAGAAUGUCGAUAAAUUUCUUUAUGUUAAUCUAUGAUUUUUUAUUUAUCAGGUGACUGAGUUUUUUAAAGGAAUAAAGUUAGAUGUAACUCAAACUGGUAAUCAACAAUUUUGUGCUACCGGUUUUGAGAAGAUGCAUAAGCUUAGAUAUAUCAACAUUAGGUAUUUUGCACAUACUUUAUGGGAACCUCCACCCCAAUAUGCAAACAAAGUUGAUAGUAUAUCUCUUCCCUUCAAAACUUUAUCAAGUUUUAAUUCAAAGAAUCUUGUCGUAUUGAUAUUACGACGUGGUAAUGUGGAACAACUUUAUCAAGUUGAUAUUACGACGCCUAAAAUUUUUUUUAAGGAAAAAAAAUAUUUAUUAUUUGAUGUAUCAAAUAACAUCUUAUUUAAAGUUUUUAAAUUUAUUUAAAUAAGUGACAUGAUCUAGUAAUUGUGGCUGAAUUUACGCCCAACAUAUCAAAUAUAAAAUUUUAUUUUUUAGUAUUAUAAUUAUUCAUUUCCUUUUCAUUUUUUAAUGCUUAAAAGUAAUACAGUUAAUUUUUCUAUACAGGACCUUGUUAAUUUAAGGCAAAUUGACGUUUCAGGGAAUCUUUCAGGAGCCAUCAACCUUGAACUCCUUGAUUGCUCUUUAUGUAAAAGUUUGGUUGAACUUCUUUGCCUCAAUCAUUUGGCAUCUCUUCAUCAUGAUAAGCUUUACCUUGAGGGAUGUUAUAGGCUCAAGAAGUUUCCUCAGGUCCCAAGACACUUUUGUUCUUUGGGUUUAGAAAUAACUGAAAUAGAAGAAGUGCCUGAUUCAAUUGAGCAUCUCCACAAACUACAGAGAUUGUCGUUGAGCAAGUCAGAGGUCAAAAAAGUAUCGAUCAAUAUUUCGAAGUUGGAACUCCUUGGUGAAAUGAUUCUUAGUAAUUGCCCAAUGAUCAAAUUUCCAGAAAUCCCAAAAAGCUUAACAAAAUUAAACUUAUCUCGCACUCAAAUUGAAGAAGUGUCGUUGCCUUUCGACUCUCUAUGUAAUCUUCAGGACUUAAAUAUUAGUGGCUCAGCGGUCAAAAAUGUAUCGAUCAAGUUGGAUUCCCUUCGUAAACUGAAUCUUUGUGAAUGCUCGAUGAUCAAAUUUCCAGAAAUCCCAAGAAGCUUAAUAGAAUUAAAUUUAUCUGGCUCUCAAAUUGAAGAAGUGUCCUUGCCUUCGACUCUCUAUGUAAUCUUCAGGUCUUAAAUAUGAGUGGCUCUGUUGUUCCAAUAGGGUCGGAAGCGUGUAAAUUAUUGUACUAAAAAAUCACACAAAGUUCAAUUCCCAGGAAAGAGAGGUGGAUCACAUGGAUCUCUUAAAUACCAAGUCUUUCCUUAGACAGAAUAUCCCUUCUAUAGUAAUUUAAUAGCACAAUUAAAUACUACUAUUAUACCCUCAAAUAUUGAAAGAAAAAUAGGACAAGAAAGAACACAAGAGUUUUAACGAGGUUCGGUAAAUUAUACCUACGUCCUCGGGCACUAACACCAGAUGAUAACUUUACUAUCUCCAAAGUAUUACAAACAAAUAGAAUUCCUUAAGAAUUCUCAAAUGGGAGAAGAGAGAAAACUAAGAGAGAAAGAUUAGUUGGGAUGGUUGAAAUGAAAAAUGAAAAGGCCUAUUUAUAGUUGAAGUUCAGGGACUAACUUGCAAAUGGCCUAAAAAAUUAGGGACCAAAAUUGCAAUUAUCCCAUUCAACUUUUCAACAUUCGGUGCAACUUGCUCAACCUUUUUAACAAGUUGCUUCCUACCUUUGUUGACCUUUCAACAAUCUCCACCUUGAAGAUUUGAUUAGGAUAAUCACAUCUUCACACACUUCCUUCAACUCCCCAAAUUCGAUAAAGUUAUCUUUUGUAGUGCCUCUAAAUGCGCUCUCGAGCGCCAUACACCUGUAGGUGCUCAAAUUCUCAGGAUGUUAAUCAAGUUCAAACAAUGAUUAAACUUGAUUGUUGUUACCACUUUGGUCAUCAUAUCUGCGGGAUUAUCUGCUGUCAGAAUCUUCUGAAGUAGAAUUUUUCCUUUUUCAAAGACUUCCCGCACAAAGUGAUAUCUUACGUCGAUAUGCUUGGUUCUUGAAUGAUAGACUUGAUUUUUCGCUAAAUGAAUAGCACUCUGACUGUCAUAAUAUAGACUAAUGUGACUUUGAACAACUCCCAAGUCUUUCAAUAAUCCAUUAAGCCAAAUAGCCUCCUUAACAGCUUCUGUAACUGCCAUAUAUUCUGCCUCUGUAGUAGACACAGCUACUGUAGACUGUAAGGUAGACUUCCAACUCACUGGGGCUUUCGCAAGAGUAAACAGAUACCCCGUAGUUGAACGACGUUUAUCUAAAUCACCAGCAAAGUCGGAAUCAACAUAUCCAACUACAAACUGACCAAGUGCUUCAUCCUGUUCAAAAAUUAAACCAACAUCUACGGUUUUUCGAAGAUACCGUAGAAUCCAUUUCACAGCUUGCCAAUGUCCUUUUCCAGGAUCAUGCAUAUACCUGCUCACAACUCUAACAGCUUGUGAAAUGUCAGGCCUCGUACACACCAUCGCAUACAUCAAACUCCCAACUGCAUUAGCAUAUGGGACUUUCGCCAUAUAUUCUCUUUCAUCUUCAGUCUUCGGAGAUAAUUGAGCACUAAGUUUCAAAUGAGAAGCAAGUGGGGUACUUACAUGUUUUGUGUUUUCAUUUACACCAAAACAUUGUAAUACAUUUUUCAGAUAUUGCUUCUGAUUUAAACAGAGCUUGCCUCUCGGUCUAUCUCUACUUAUCUCCAUGCCGAGAAUCUUCUUGGCCUCACCUACAUCUUUCAUCUCGAACUCUUGAUUCAACUGAGCCUUCAGCUUAUCUAUCUCAUUUUGGCUCUUCGAAGCGAUUAACAUAUCAUCAACAUACAAGAGUAGAUAAAUGAAAGAUCUGUCAUGCAACUUCUGCAAAUAUACACAAUUGUCAUAUUUGCUUCUUGUGUACUUCUGCCUUCUCAUAAAGCUAUCAAAUCGCUUGUACCACUGCCUCGGGGAUUACUUCAAUCCAUAUAGCGAUUUGUUCAGCUUACAAACCCAAUUUCUACCACCAGCAUCUGUGUAUCUUUCGGGCUGAGUCAUAUAGAUCUCCUCUUCUAACUCACCAUGCAAGAAAGCCGUCUUAACAUCAAGUUGAGCUAGCUCCAAAUUCAACUGUGCUACCAAGGCCAACAAAAUUCUAAUGGAGGAAUGCUUCACAACAGGGGAAAAUACAUCAUUGUAGUCAAUUCCCUCCUUCUGAGCGUAGCCUUUAGCUACCAAUCUUGCAUUGUAGCGAAUAUCCUUCUUGCUAGGAGAUCCAUCUUUCUUUGCGAAUACCCACUUGCAUCCGAUUUCCCUUUUACCUUUCGGUAAUUGCGCCAAUUCCCAAGUAUUAUUCUUCAAGAGAGACUGCAUUUCUUCAUCCAUGGCGCUUUUCCAUUUAUCACUUUCUAAGCUUUGCAUUGCUUCUUGAUAAGUGAUAGGAAUAUCAUCAACAACGGGAAGGGCGUAGGCCACCAUAUCAGUAAAUCGAGUAGGUUUACGAAUUUCUCUCCGUGGCCUUGCAACUGCAACUGGUUCUGGUGUACUUAGUGGUUCUUGGGUCAGAACCUCUUCAACCUCUAAUUCCUCCAUUGUGGCUGGAGAAUUAGACUUAUUAACUGGGCAAAUCCCCAUCUGCUCAAACUCCACCUGUUUUGGAGUACACUCCACCUGUUGUGGAGUAUUGCUCGUCUGAAUAUCUUUAUCUGCUACCUUUUUCAAUGUGGCAGAUUCAUCAAAGGUAACAUCUCUGCUACAGAUCAUUUUCUUUGUGCUUAAGCACCAAAGACGAAAUCCCUUUACUCCAAAAGUGAUUCCCAUAAAGAGAGCUUUCUUUGCCCUCGGAUCUAACUUUGACUCCUUCACAUGGUAAUAUGCAGUGGAUCCAAACACAUGUAAGGAAUCAUAAUCUGUAGCCGGUUUUCCAGACCAUACCUCCAUAGGAGUUUUUCUUUCUAAUGCAGAUGAUGGCAAACGAUUAACAAGAUGGCCAGCGUAUGUCACAGCCUCAGCCCAAAAUUGCUUGCCCAACCCAGCAUUGGACAACAUACAUCGAACUUUCUCAAGCAAUGUUCGAUUCAUACGCUCUGCCAAUCCAUUCUGCUGUGGUGUAUCCCUAACUGUGAAGUGUCGAACAAUACCAUACUCUUGGCACACAUCGAAGAACGGAUCACUUUUAUAUUCCCCUCCAUUGUCCGUCCUAAGCCGCUUGAUUUUCUUGCCAGUCUGGUUUUCGAUCAUAGUUUUCCAUUUAAGAAAAACUCUAAGCACUUCAUCCUUAGUUCUCAUGGUAUACACCCAAAACUCUUCUGGAAAAGUCAUCAACAAAAGUAACAAAGUAGUGUUUUCCUCCCAAUAAAGGUGUCUUGGAAGGCCCCCACACAUCUGAGUGAACAUAUUCCAAAAUACCUUUUGUAUUAUGGAUAGCAGUACCGAAUUUCACUCUCUUUUGCUUUCCCAGAACACAAUGCUCGCAAAAUUUUAAUUUGUAAGCCUUUACACCUUUCAACAAACCUUGCUUUGCCAGAAUUUGCAAGGAUUUUUCGCUGGCAUGUCCCAACUUCAUAUGCCACAACUGCAUUGAGUCCAAUUCUUUGUUACCGGAAGCUGUAGCGACUGCUCCAAUAACUGUACUACCUUGGUAGUAAUACAAGUUAUUUUUCCUGAUGCCCUUCAAUAUCACAAGUGCGCCAGAUGUCACUUUCAAAAUCCCAUCUCUCAUAGUAACAACUGAACCAUUGGAUCCAAGGCUCCCAAUGAGAUGAGAUUUUUCUUCAAACUGGGCACGUACCGAACAUCAGUCAGAACUCUGGUUGAUCCAUCUUGAUUCUUUAAUUGGAUUGAACCUAUCCCAACAGUUUUACAGGCAUUGUCAUUGCCCAUAUAAACAACUCCUCCAUUUAGUUCUACUAAAUCAGAGAACCACUCCCGGUUAGGGGACAUAUGAUAGGUACAACCCGAAUCCAAUAUCCACUCAUCUGAAUGGAACGACGAUGAUGAUACAACCAGUGAUAGUUCAGAGUCACUAGUAUCAUGCUUUGCAACACAUGCAUCUACAGCAGCUUUUCCCUUAUUCUUCAGCUUUGGACAAUUUUUCUUCCAGUGGCAUUUCUCAUGACAAAAAGCACAUUCAUCUUUCCCGAGUCUGGACUUUGACUUUGAUCUCCCCUUUUGAGUUUUCUUCCGAGUGUAUGAACGACCUCGGACUACUAAAGCUUCUGUAUCUCUGAUUGAGUUUUUCUGUUUGUCCUUCUUUCUCUGUUCAUAACUGUAUAAGGCCGCACAGACUUCGCUCAGAGAUAUAUCACUCCUUCCAUGAAGUAGAGUAGUUUCUAGGAACUCAAACUCCUCAGGAAGUGACCCCAACAGCAUCAAAGUCAAAUCUUCAUCUUUGAAUGUCUCAUCCAUAUUCAGCAAAUCAGUGACUAACUGAUUAAAUUUGGUGAUGUGAUUAUUCAUUGUGGUACUUGGGACGUAUGUGAAGCGAAACAGUCUUUUCUUCAAGUGGAGCUUAUUUUGACUGUUUUUCUUCAAAAAUUUUUCUUCAAGUGCCACCCACAACUUAUUUGCAGAAGUCUUCUUUGAAAAAGCAUACCUCUGCUCUCGAGAAAGGCAUGAUCGAAUUGUGCCACAUGCCAACCGAUUGAUCGCCUUCCAAUCUUUCUCCUAUACAUCAUCUGGUUUCUCUUCAUCAAUGGCAAUGUCUAGACCCUGCUGAAAAAGGGCAUCUAGAACCUCACUUUGCCACAUACCAAAAUGGCCCGUGCCAUCAAAGAUCUCCACGGCCAAUCUUGCAUUUGCAAUUGUCGGUCUUGUCCACAUGGACGAUGUUGAAGCUCCUACACCGACCGUUUUCUCCAUAAUCUUUCAAUAUACCUAAGGAAAUCUUUUCUGAUGUGGAAGAUCAGUUUAAACUGCAACCAUAGAGCAUACUACGAUUAACCUUCGGCUCUUGAUACCACUUGUUGUUCCAAUAGGGUCGGAAGCGUGUAAAUUAUUGUACUAAAAAAUCACACAAAGUUCAAUUCUCAGGAAAGAGAGGUGGAUCACAUGGAUCUCUUAAAUACCAAGUCUUUCCUUAGACAGAAUAUCCCUUCUAUAGUAAUUUAAUAGCACAAUUAAAUACUACUAUUAUACCCUCAAAUAUUGAAAGAAAAAUAGGACAAGAAAGAACACAAGAGUUUUAACGAGGUUCGGUAAAUUAUACCUACGUCCUCGGGCACUAACACCAGAUGAUAACUUUACUAUCUCCAAAGUAUUACAAACAAAUAGAAUUCCUUAAGAAUUCUCAAAUGGGAGAAGAGAGAAAACUAAGAGAGAAAGAUUAGUUGGGAUGGUUGAAAUGAAAAAUGAAAAGGCCUAUUUAUAGUUGAAGUUCAGGGACUAACUUGCAAAUGGCCUAAAAAAUUAGGGACCAAAAUUGCAAUUAUCCCAUUCAACUUUUCAACAUUCGGUGCAACUUGCUCAACCUUAUUAACAAGUUGCUUCCUACCUUUGUUGACCUUUCAACAGGCUCAGCAGUAAAAAAAUGUAUCGAUCAAGUUGGAAUCCCUUAAACUGGAUCUUAGUGGUUGCCCAAUGGUCCAAUUUCCAGAUGUCCCAAGAAGUUUAACACACUCAAAUUGAAGAAGUGUUAUUGCCUUUCGACCCUUUAUGUAAUCUCGUGUACUUAAAAGUGAAAGGCUCAGCGGUAAAAAAUGCAUCGAUCAAGUUGGAAUCCCUUCGUCGACUGGAUAUUAGUGGUUGCCCAAUAGUCGAAUUUCCAAAAGUCCCGAGAGGCUUAAUAUGGUUAAAGUUAUCUGACACUCCAAUUGAAGAAGCGGCCUUGUCUAUAGACUCUUUAAGUAAUCCUAGGGAGUUAGAGAUGAGCGGCUCAAGUAUUCCAAAGCUACAGUGUAAUAUCUCCCUGUUCGAUUCAAGAGAGUUUCCCACUGUUGAUGUGCCCCCACCAAGCUUGAGGUCUAAAACCCUUAGGUAUAUGUGGAUGGAUCGUUGCAAGAGCCUCAAAUUACUCUCAGAGCUUCCACCAUAUCUGCAAGGCUUGAGUGUACAUGACUGCACAUCAUUAGAAAAAGUAUCCUUUGCAGAUCAAAGUUUAUAUCAGUUUGAUUCUUUAGUUGAUGAUGACAAUUACAAUGUGUUUUGCAUGAUAUUCUAUAAUUGUUUCAACUUGAAUCAAGAGUCAACUAAUAACAUUGAGGCAAAUGCCAUGCUCAAAAUUGGAUCCCUAGCUAUGAAAUGGGCAGCGAGAUAUGGUAGGAAAAAACGGCAUGAUAACUUUCGAAGUUUUUAUUUCUUUUCAUCUUUGCCUCUGGUUUUCAGGAGUUACAACUUCUCAAUUAUGUCAUCCAAAUGCAUUGGUAAGGUUUUCAUUUUCAUCUCAUUUUUUCAUAUUAUCAUACAUUUUUCAGUUUUUUUAUGUCAUUUUUCAUAUUGCCAUACUUGUGUUUUUCACAAUUGUUAAAACUAAAAUUUCAAUUUACUUAAUUAAAACAAACCAGAAUGAAGCUAACUUGCUCUGCUUUAUAAAUUGCUAGUCAUUUAGAAGGUGCUUUACCAUCUUCGAGAAACUGAAAACUUGUAGUUCCACAUUGUAAAUGUUAAAAGCAUAGUUUAUGAACAUAAAAUGGAAAUUUGUUCUAUAGUUGUGGUAGUCUUAUUAUUUUUCUCAUAUCCAUUCCCCUGUUGUGUCUGUGUUCUUUUGUAGGUAUAGAAUAUAUUGUCUAAGAAGGAAAUUCUCCAUAUUAAUUGAUUUGGAGGAAAAUUGAAUGGCAACUGGAGAGAUUUCAAUACAGUAGCAAAAAGAUCCUGCUUUGGAGUUGAUAAAAUAUCCAUAAACAGCCCAAAUUAAUAGGAUCAUACACAAAAUAUAUAUGUAAUUAGCUCGUAAAAGUAUGUCAUUUUAGAGUAUUAUCAAUAGGGGUUAGUGGUAGGUGCCCAAAUUUAGAUAUUAAGAUUCAUACUUAAAUUAUUCAGCCUAAUUGUUUAGUUUCUAACAGCGGUGCUUAUAUGUUAUCAACUCAUGAUUACAUGAUUUCAUGUUAAUUAGAAAGAUUGGUUUCUCUUAUAACCUUUGCUUUUAUGUUGAUUUAGGAGUAGGUGUUUCCUAUUUGUUGUGAGAUUCGAUACUCAACAGAACUUGCAGAUUAUGGAUGGUUCUGAUAUCCUCUUUCUCACCAACAAAACAAGUUCCCAUGAAAUUUCUGGUAUUAAAGUCAAGUUUGUGACCAAUGCAAAAUAUUUUUAGCCAAUAAUGAGUUGGAGCUUUAGCCAUAUGAGGAAGAAAACCUAAGCUGUAAGAGCUUCAAUUUCGUUUACUUGAUGCUUAUUUUAUUUAUGUGUUUGAACUGAUAUUUUGAGACAAUGCAAGUUGUCAACAGAUUUGCCUUAUUGAUUCUAUUCAUAUGAUGGUUCAACGCAAAAUUGAAGGAAUCUUUUGAAUACCUUUUCUGGGCUCUGGCAAUUCAGUCUUGGUGGAGAAGUAAGUUACCUUUGACUUAUUAUUAUGAUUUUAGGUUCAUCUAAUGCUUAUCUUUUUCUAGAUUUAUCAAAGAAAUUCCGAGAGUUGCUCGUAUCUCAAAUUUUGUGGUAUGAACACAUGGAGCUGGAGGCAAGCGUUUGACGGCUAUCAUUCUCAAGUUGGAUUGGUGAGCUUAUGUUUAUCCCAUUGAGGAACCCAAGAAGAUACUGGAAAAAUGUUAAAUGAUUUGAGUUUAGUUUGAAGUGAAGAGCUGGUUCCAUGGUAGAGCCAUUGGAAUUGAUAUUUUCUUAUCUUGGAUUUUGAUUAUCAGAUCAGUUGGGGCUGAAGUCUCUUUGUAUGUUAUUGCCUUUCAAGUUGUUUAAGCAGCAUUGUGGUGAGGAGAUAUUAAGAUUCAUGCUUUAUUCUUGUCGGCAGUUGACUCCAUAGGAUCAGUGGAGGACUUCAUUCAGCUUCAUUGAAAAGUAGAUAUUUAAUCAUCUGGUAUCUCGAUAUACUCAUUGCAUUUUCCUUCAAUGAUAUCUUGAUUCGUUGAUUUAUGAUUCAUUUCUAUUUAUACUGGAAUUGUAGUUGCAGAUUAAGGGUGGGUUUGAUAUGAUAUCUUCUUUCUCACCAACAAAAGAAAAGAACAAAGCUAAAAGCUUUGGGGGAGAAAUGAAUAAUACAAUUUAAAAUUGCCCACACAGAGGGACAAAAAGGAAGCAAAAGGGGAAACCCAUCCACCGCGUGUACGAACACCUAUCUACAAAUCCCUUACCUUUUUCUUUUUUACCUUAUUAUCUAAAUGUAAAAGUUCGAUAAAUGACACCAAUUUAUAUUUAAAUAUUAAAAUGAAUUUAAUUAAAAAAAUACAAUAAUUAAAGCAUUCAAAUUUACAUUAUGAAUGUUGAUAUGAUAGUUGAAAUGUUCACCACUUCGAUCGUAAUUUAGGUUCUAAGGCUUGUUGUUAUAUUAACCUAAAUUAAUACAUCCAAAGAUUUACAAAAUCUCCAAUGGGCCACUUACCACCACCUGUCCCUUACAUUAACUUUUUUUCUACAAACUAUAUACAUCCUUAAAAGUUUUUCUUAUAGCUCUUGUUUUUAAACUAUUAAUUUUAUUUCAUUUAAUGAAAUAAGAAUCUAUUUAUUUAUAGCCAAAGAUAGGUAUAUGAAAUAAAUAUUAGGUACCAUCAAAGUAGUAGGUCAAAGAUCUUGAAUACCAGGCAUUUAUUUAUAGCCCUUCCCACAUACAAUGGAUCAUUCACUCUUUGCACACACAUUCUUCACCCAGUUAUCAUGGCAGCUCACUCCAAACUUGUUUUCUCAAAAUUUCUCUCGGAUACUGACAUCAAGAAGAGAUUGGCGGUUCCGUCAGCAAUCCAGAGGUCCUUGCCGCCCUUCAAUGGAGGUCAUGCCCUCAUAUUUCACUUUUUGCACGGCACAAGAUUCUGGCCAAUUCUUUACUCUAUCCGCACUACAGGGUACAACAAACCCGUUUUCUCAGGUGGAUUAUGGAGAAACUUUGUUAUUUGUAACAACUUAAAUGUUGGUGACAGAUUCACCAUGUACCGAGUGCAAGAUGAAGAUGGUUCUUCCUACUAUAGGGUUGACGUCAUGAGGAGAGAAAUCGACUUCCUUGGCAAAAAUGCAAUGGCCUAUGGCUGUGCCAGUACUGCUGAUGAACAUGUUAUUACUCAUCAUCAUCAAGAAGGACUUAGCUUGGAGUUGUCUCUGGGAAAACCCAAUUGAAAAAGCUUGCUACCUGCAAAACAAUAUCGGGCCCUUUCUUUUUCUACUUUCUCUUUAUAAGAAAAUACAAGGAACGUAUUAUGAUUUUGUGGUUCAGACAAGAAGUAAAAGUCGGUGUCAGUCGAGUUUAUAGCCAGUUUGGUUGUUAUAUUCCUGUUUGUUUCUGUUAUCAUGUAAUUAGAAUCUGUAAGAACUGUAAUAAUAAGUGUGAGUUUGGAAUAAAAAAUCUGUUUAAAGAUGUGUGCUUGGCUUGUUUUGUCUGUGAAACACCAAAGCUUUCUUUACACCAAUAUUGGAAUGCACUCCACCCCUCCCAGCUGCCAUUGAAGAUGCAACUAUAAUCUUAUCAGUCCCGGUUGCUUUCCAAAACCCGUCUCCAGUUGCGCUGUUUGGCCUUGCACCAUUUGGGUACUUUCCGUCUCUCGGUCUGAAAAUGUACCAUUCUUUCUCACCAAGCACAGCUUUAUCUGAUCCAAAAACAACAACAACAACAAAAAAAAGAAACACUACCACCACUAGAACAAGCUUUAAACAUAACAUGAAGCUAUGUAAUGAUUUAUGAUUGAUUCUUUAGAUGAUAACAUUGAAAGGGUUAUUAAAGCGAGUUUCACCUGGUAAGUCCCAGGGAUCGAACUAUAGAAAUCGGCGUCCGCGAUGAUGGAAACGGGGAAAGCUGAGGAGCUCAGUUUCUUCAUUAGAUAAUGAAGGAUGAGUUCUUCGUCCGUGAGGUGAAACCUAAAUCCUGGAGGCAGACUUGAAUGUGGGUGCCUCAUGGUUUUAACUAAAAUUUUGAAGGAUGAGUUCUUGAUCAGUAGGGUGAAAUCUAAGAAUGCGGGUGCCUCGGUUUCUUCGUUAGAUAAUGAAGGAUGAGUUGUUCAUAUCGGUGGGGUGAAAUCUAAACCCCGGAGGCAAACUUGAAUGUGGGUGCCUCAUGGUCUUAACUAAAAAUUUUCCCCUACUACUAUGUUAUUAACUAUGAAAAAGUUGCAGUAAAAGAAGAAAAAUAUGAGCCCUGAAAAUGGAAACAAUAAAGGGUAUAAGAGCUCUCAAGCCAAACACACAGGCAGAAGAAAAAUAAAGGAAUUGAAAUUUUUGAGAGACGAAGAAACAUAAAAUAUGCCGUGAGCAGUAAGUAGAGAUUUAAUCAUAUUGUAUCUCAAGACUAUCUGCAUUUUACUUCAAUGAUUCGUUCACCCAUUGAUUUAUGCUUCAUAUUUCCUUAAAAUGUUAGUAAAUAUAUAUGUUUUCAGUUCAUGAUUUCUGAUUUAUAUUCAUGUUAGAUAAGGUAAACCUACCAACUGUUCCCUAUAUAUAAUCAAUAGAUGCUUGAGAUUGGUUAAUCUUCUAACAUAUGGUUUUAUAUUGAUCACAGAGUAGGUGUUUUCUAUUUGUUAUGUUUUAUUUUUUUUGAAUUUUAUGACCGUGAUCCGUAGUUUCCAUAAAAUUUUAAUGAAAGUCAAGUCGGACAUAGUGCUGCACAUAAUUCCUCCCAUUCAUUCUCAAUUGUGGAAUUCACAAUCUGCCAGAAAUCAUACUCAUAAGAUUUCCCUAGCUUCCUUCCUGACCAAUUUGCAAACAUGUCCCUCGCACAAUUCCUACGCUCCACCUUUGGCGAUAUGUCAGAAAUUACAAUCUGAAGGCCUUAAUUGUGUUUUAAUGAACCAGAUAGAUUAUUAGAAAAAUAUAGUUAAUUAUACUUAACAAAAUAAAAAGACAAGACCAAGCCCAAAUUAGUUAAUUCGCUAACCUUUUGUUGGUCCCUGAUAAUUGUUUAAUUCGGCUCGGUUUGGUUCACAGUUUCUUAUAUUAAUUUUUUGUUUUGAUUUUUAAGGUUUAUUUUGAUAAAAUGAGUUUUGUUUUAUGGCUUUUAAAUAUUAUUUGAUAAAUUUUAAAUUUAUUUUCAUAAAUAUUUCUAAAAUACAAUAAUUUUUCAAAAACUUUUAAAUUACUUUCACUAUUUUAAAUAUAAAAUAUGUAUUUUUAUAUAAAAAAAGUUAAAAUUAAUUAUAUAUGAAAUAAAAAAUAAAAUUCGAUUCGAUUCGAUUUCAGAUAAUAACCAAAUUUUUAGUAAAAAACAAACAAACAAAUAAAAAUUACAUCAAACUAAAUUGAUCAAAAGCACCCUUAACUUUAUCUUGAUUUAAAAUAUUUAGAACAUCACGAGGGACUUUAUUAUAAAACUGUAAACUUAUCCUCUCAACUAAGCUCAAUUAAUCGCGAGUUUUAAAUUUAUAUUUUAUUAAUCGUUGAAAUAAGAAACAUUUUGGGUUUGAUGGGCCCACCCACCAUCAAAACACUCCCACUUUUGCGGUAAAAGAUAAAAAGGAGAAUUGAUUAUCUCCGGUGGUGUUGACUAAGAUAAUUGGCUAAGCUCAAGUCUAAGGAAAACGCCUUCAAUCUCUUUCCCAUUUAAUAAAAGGAUACCAAAGAUUAUGCAUAUUUUACACUUUUUCUUCUUACAAUAAUACCACAACCCAACCAAAUUUUCUCUCUUUUGCUUCAAUACUCUUCCAUGGCUUCUUCUUCUUCUUCUUCUUCUACUCUAAUGAAGUAUCAUGUUUUCUUGAGCUUCAGAGGUGAAGACACGCGCCUUAAUUUCACCACUCACUUACUUCAAGCUUUGAAAGACGAGGGACUUGAUGUUUUCUUCGAUGAAGAAAAACUGGAAAGGGGGGACCAGCUUUCACAAGCACUUUCUCGAGCAAUUGCAGUCUCAAAUAUCUCAAUCAUCGUUUUGUCUGCAGACUAUGCCUCUUCGAAAUCAUGCUUGGUUGAACUCUCUGACAUCAUGGACCGCUAUAGCGUCGGACAACAUACUGUUCGUCCCAUCUUUUACCAUGUUAACCCCUCUGAUGUGGUGAAAAUUGAUGGGAGUUUUAAGAAAUCCUUUGAUGAGCAUAAAACAAAGAGGUCAGUUCAUGAAGUGAAACAAUGGGAAACUGCUUUUGCUGAAGUUGGUAAAUUACAAGGGUGGCAUAUAGAUGGAAGCAGGUCGGAUGGGUAACUAUAUUUGUCUCAUCUCCUUAUAUUUGACUUAUCUUCGUUUUGGAUUUCAUAUAUAUACUUCUUCUAUUAUCUGCUAGACCUGAAACCCAGUACAUCAAGGAUAUUGUUGCGUAUGUUAUGCAAAAGUUGAUGAAGCAUCAAGUUUUCUUAAGCUUAGGUGAAGACACACGCCUCAACUUCUCCAAUCACCUAGUCAAUGCUUUGGAAAAAGUAGGAAUUAAUGUCUUCCCCGAUAACGAAACACUGAAAAAAGGAGAGAAACUUCCACCAACGUAUUCUCGAACAAUUUUGGCCUCAAAUCUCUCAAUCCUCGUUGUAUCUAAAGCCUAUGCUUCUUUAAAAUCAUGCUUAGGUGAACUUUCUGACAUCAUGGAUCGCAAGCACAAUCCCACUGACAAACAUAUUGUUCUUCCCGUCUUUUACCAUGUUGAUCCUUCCGAUGUGCGAAAUAGUGGUGGGCAUUUUAAGACAUCCUUCGAAGAGCAUGAAUCAGAGCAACCAGCUGAUAGAGUACAACAAUGGAAAACUGCUUUUGCAGAGGUUGGUAAAUUAAAAGGGUGGUAUAUAGAAGGAGGCAAAUUUGACAGGUAACUAUAUUUUUCUCAUCUUGUUAUUUUCAACUAAUCUUUAUUUUAGAUUUCAUAUUUACUUAUUUACAUUUCUUAUUGUUUUCUAGACCUGAAACCGAGUACAUUAAAGAUGUUGUCGAAUAUGUUAUAAAAAAAGUUGACGAAUAUUGGGUUUGAAAGUGCUUCUGAAGAAUUGGUUGGAAUAGAAUAUCAGAAAAAUGCGAUUUUGAAGCUGAUUAAGCAAAAAGAGUGUCGUGUAAUAGGACUUUGGGGAAUGGGUGGUCAAGGCAAAACAACCCUUGCUGAGGCUGUAUGUAAAAAAUUCUCUUCAGAGUUUGAAAGUCAUUGGUUUCUUCAAAAUGUUAGAGAGGAAAUAAACAAACAAGGGAAGGAAUCUUUACGAAAUGAAUUUCUUUCGAAAUUAUUGAACUCAAAUGUUGAUAUAGGCACCCCCUCCAUUGGAUCCACUUUAACUCAAGAGAGACUCAACAAGAAGAAAGUACUUGUUGUCCUUGAUGAUGUUGAUGACUCAGACCAAAUAGAUUAUAUGGGUGUUAAACAUUUUGGUUAUGGAAGUAAAACCAUUAUAACAUCAAGAGAUAGACAAGUGCUUGAGAGUGGAGGAGCUGACACAAUACAUGAGGUGAAAGGGUUAAAUAAGAACGAUUCUCUUCAACUUUUUUCUACCUUUGCGUUUAAGCAGUUGAAUCCCGCAGUUGGUUUUCAAGAUCUAUCCCGUAGGUUUGUAAAGUACACUCAAGGCAAUCCACUUGCUCUUAAAGUUUUGGGUUCUGAUUUAAAUAAAAGAAGUAAAAAUUAUUGGGAAAGUAAGGUGGAGAAGCUAAAGGACUGUCCCCCAGAAAAAAAAAUUUAGAGGUUUUGAAAAGUAGUUAUGAUGGGCUAGAUUUAGUAGAGCAGAAUAUAUUUCUUGACAUUGCAUGCUUCUUUAAAGGGGAACCCAUGGAAAGAGCAAAACUUAUUCUAAGUAGUUGUUAUACGGGUGCAGAGUGUGGAAUAAACAAAUUGGUUGACAAAUGCCUGAUCAAUGUCUCAUCUUCUACUAAUUUCUCUCUUGAUCAUUUUGAUUAUUCUACAAUGUGGCCAUGUAAAUUAUUACGAGAUGCAAUUUCUAUGCAUGAUACGCUUGAAGAGAUGGGAAAGGACAUUGUUUGUCAAGAAUCUAAAACCCUUGGUAAGUGCAGUAGACUAUGGAAUCCGAAACACGUGGAAGAAGUGCUCAAAUAUAAUAAAGUAAGCACUAAUUAUAUUUUUUUAAUAUACUUUAAUGAGAUAUUGUCAUUUGGUUGAAUGCCAGUAUAUAAACCUAUACAUUUGAUAUCAUAUCAAGUAUUAUCCCUUUUAAUUAGUAUUUAAAAAUAAAAUAAUUAUCAUCAUACUAGACACAUAAUGACUAUGUCUUAGGUAUAAUGUAGAAUCUGCUCAAGGUUUAUGACUUAGUUAAAUACUUAAUGCAUUGAUUUGAAAAAAUAAAAACAAAAGAAAAGAAAACACUUUCUGUAUGUAAAAGUGCUCAAUUAGUCUACGUCUAUCUUAAUAUAAUUAUUUUUUUAUGAGUUAUUUAAUGGAAUGUCUAUAAAUUUCUCCAUGCUAAUAUUUGAUAAAUUGGUUUUUGUUAUCAGGGAACUGAUCGAAUUCAAGGAAUAAAGGUAGCCUUGUCACGUAUGGGUAACCUAGUAUUCCAACCUUCUGGUUUUGAAAGCAUGAUUAAUCUUAGAUGUAUUUUCUUCUAUUUUCCUCGGAGUUGGUUGAGGAAAGAGCAUGAGGAUUAUAAGAAGCUACAUACAUACCAAGAUGAUAUUAUCUCUCUUCCGGAUGAGCUAAGGUAUCUUGUAUGGCAUUAUUACCCCUUCAAAUCUUUAUCAUCAAGUUUUAAUCCAAAGAACCUUAUUACAUUGGAAUUACCAUAUGGAAACAUGGAGCAACUUUGGAACGAAGUUCAUCAGGUAUAUAUACUUUUAUACUUUCUUCAUCCAAGAAUUUUUUUUAAGAGCACUACACCAAAACAGGUUUUUAGCGGCGUUUUUUUAGGCAUAUAGCGGCGCUUCUUAGCGCCACUAAAGGUGUUUGCGACACUUCCACAAGUGCCGCAAAAAAUGCCGCUAACGACGUCGCUAAUGUUUGCAGCGUUUAAAAAAAUAAACGCCGCUAAAGAUCAUGUUCUUUAGCGGUGGUUAGAAAAAAACCCCGCUAAAGAUCAUGUUCUUUAAUGGCGUUUAAAGAAAAACGCCGCUAAAUAUCAUGUUCUUUAGCGGCGCUUGAAGAAAACUGCCGCUAAAGGGCAUGUUCUUUAGCGGCGCCUGAAGAAAAACGUCGCUAAAGAACAUGUUCUUUAGCGGCGCUUUAUACACAAACGCUGCUAUAGGGACGCGACUUUUAGCGGUGCUUUUAAAAAAAACGCCAUUAAUUUGGGAUUUCUGUAAAAUAAAAUUUUUCAUUUUUUCAGCCUUACUGUAGCAACAAAUCAAAAGCAACCAGAUCUAAACCAGCCAAAAGCAAUAAAGUUAUAUAAUAUUUCAAAUUAAACGAAUAAAAUAAUAUUAAUAUCAAUAAAUAAAAGUGAAUUCAUAUUAUUUUUAAAAAAAUGUUAAAAGUUGAAAUGAUAAAAAUAUUUAUGCAAUACUCUAUGACGGCGGAAUUUGCGACUGCUGAAACAUCUUCAUCAUACUCUGAAGCUGCUGUUGGAGUUAGUCGUACUUUCUGCUCUGCUCUGCUUCUCUCGAGUCCGCAUCUUCUUUAAGUUUUAGCUGGAGUUCUUCAUAUUUCUUUUGAACCUCUGCUUCUCUCACUACAGCCUUUGCUUCCCUCGCUGCCGCCUCUACUUUAAGUUGUAGCUAGAGUUCUUCAUAUUUCUUUUGAACCUCAACUGUGGUCGCUUGCAUCUGAGCCAUCUGGUCUUUUAACCUCUGAACUUCAGCUUGAGUCUGACUCCCCGAAGCCAUGUAUUGCUGCGAGCUGGAUCCAAAAUAUUGGGUUGGGCUAACAAAAGAUCUUUGAAAUCGAACCCGACCAUACCUUUCAUGACCCAAAACUUCAGUAAUAAUCCGGUUAAAAAUGUCUUUAGGAUGAACAGAACUAUCACUAGAAGCAAUCGCUUCGUACUCCGCAUUUUUAUUCUUUAGUUUUUCCUAAUAAAUAAAUCACAUAGUUAAGAACGCAAUAUAUAUUAAAAAAACAAAUGCAACAUAACAAUAGUCGCAUUACAAGCAAUGAAUUAAACCAUUAGAAAAUAAACACUAUAAAUAACUAAAACAAGUCAAACGGUAUUAAGUAAACGUACCAUAAUUUCACCAGCUUCAGGAGUCAUAGCAGAUCCAUCUUUCUUCCUAUGUGUAAUUUCAAAAAGCUGAAGGUGUCCAACUUUUUGACCGGACGACAGUUCCUACAAUAUAGUAGUAAAAAUAUUAUUUAAUGGAAAGUUAUACAUAUUUGACAAUAUUAAAAAAUUAAAAAUACCUCCGCCUCAGCUACACAUGCAAAACUUCUCGACCCGGCUGUGUGAGUGAAUUUUUGUUUAUGCCUGCUGCUUUUUCCAACUGGUUCACGAUCCUACGUUAUGAAAUUUUUAGUACGUAAAUAGUAAAUACUACAAACCAAAAUAAUUACAAUAGUUUGAAAGUACGUCAUACCUCGCCUUUCUUCGAAUGCCAAAAUCUAACCGCAUCUUCCCAUUGGUACCUCAGCAUACUCGGCGGGACAUUUUGUAAUUUCUCAUCGAGGGUUGUUUUUGUCUUAUAAUAAUAUUUCUUCAAAGUAUUUUUAUGUUCUCUCCAUCUUUUUCCCAAUGCCUUCUUUACAUAAGCAUCCAAGACCUCUAAAGCAAAUCUCGCCUACAAAAAACAUAAGUUAAUAAAGUAAAUAUAAAUGGAACUAUUUCCUAAGUAUUACAGAUGACAUUAACAUUUUGUUACCUUAAUAUUAUCGAGGGCUUAGUUUUUGUUGCUAUCGGGCAUUUGAUUCCAUGACUCGUAGUUAAUAGGCAACAUAUCCGCAUUUCGUGCUAAAAUGCCACAUGUAUCCUGCUAAAAGUCGAGCUUUUAAUCCAACAGGCUGACCAAAACUGUUUCUGCAUACCUUGACGCACUCGACUAGAUCUAACUCGUAUAAAUCUCUAAGUAGCGUACGUCCUCGACCUCUACGUGUCCCACCAUUUUCAGCUGCAAAUGGUAUAUUAUAAUAUAAGAAUUUGAAAAAUAAAUCAAUUAUAAGUCAACACGCAUGUAAAUUAAAUGUAAAAUUACUUUGAACUUCUGUAGGGUCCUCAGGUGUAAUUGGAACAUUCGAAGAUCCAAUUACUGUCUGUUGUUCAGUACUAUUUGUUUCUGUCGAGUUUGGAUCAUUUUGAACAAUGCUUCCCAUUGGAAUUUUUCUUCUAGGCAUUUUAUCUGCAAUACACAUAAAAUAGUUGAAAACUUAAUAACUAAUUACAACAAUAACAGCACAUAUAAAAUAGUUGAAAUAUAUAAUAAGACCAAGAUUUAAAUUAUGAUAUUACAUAUAAUUAAAAAAUCGUAAAAUCUUACUACGUCAUUAUUCGUAAAUAUCUUCAUCCGUAUCCUGACAAACCCAUUGAAAUUGUGUACUAGUACUAGGGAUAUUAUUGUUUAAGUUUUGUUCUGGAAAGGGCAAAGUUUUUGAUCUGUCGUUGAUGUUAUCUCUACUUCCAUUACCCAUGUCAAACAAGUCUCUAGGGAUGUUACGGAGUACAACGUACCAACCCUCAUCAAUUGGAUCUUUUCAGUAAAAAACUUGUUUGACUUGAGAUGAGAAUACAUACGGCUCAUCUAUCAGUUGUUGUCCUGUGUGAAUCAAUCGAGCGAAGUUCACCAUUGUAAAACCAAAUUGAUCUUGCUUAAUUCCACAGGCAGUAUUAACAUCGGCCCAAUCACCUCGAAAUAAGACAAAUUUCCAUUUUCCAUAGUAAUUCAACUCAAUUAUGUCAGUAAGAAGUCUGAAAUAUUCCACAUUUCCCUCGACAGGAUUGUUGUCCCUAGCACUAGCAUAACUUGUAAUUGAGGAAUUAACAACUAUUCCACAAUUUUGCGUUCUCCUCAACCUCUCGCAAUAUUUUGUAUGAAAUCUGAAUCCGUUGAUGAGGAACGCACUAUAUCUUUUAACCACUUGAUUUGGACCUUGGGAGAGCCAUUUAACUUCGUCGUUUACGUUCUUCCCACUCCAAACCUAUUGAAUGGAAAGUAAAUUGAGUAAUUAAAAAUGUUAUGAGAAAAUAUUAUUAUUUGUAAGCGGAAGCUCCAACUGCAUAUCGUUGAGCUUAACCAUUCAUGAAAAGAUUAUGUAAACAACUUAUUGAUAUCUCGAUAUUGUGUUCUUCGGGAGCGCGAACGAGAUCUCAAUAUUUGUUUGUACUCACUAUGUUAAAAAAUGUUCACUUUGUUAGAAGAUAAUCAAUUUUUAAUUUGAUAAAUAUUUAUCAAAUUUGUAAAACUUACUUCCGUAAAUGUUCCAUUGAUUCGUGGUGAAACAGAACAUAUCGAUGUGCUUGUACCCACGAUAAAUGAUCUAAUUUUACAAUUUCAACUUUGCCGAUUGGUUUUCUAAAACUUUGGAACACAUAAGUAUCGGCGAUGUUAUGGUCCGUGAGUCCAGCAUUCCUAUUUGGUCUGUUCAACCUUGUUUCAACAUCUUCCAAAUAUCUUGAGCAGAAGGUCAUACAUUCCUCUACUAAGUAGCCUUCAGCAAUCGAUCCUUUUGGAUAUCGCUUGUAGCAGCAGUAAGACUUUAAUUUGGAUAGAAACCUAAACACGAUAUACAACACUAUCAAAAGUUGUGACUAAAGGCAUAGAGGUGAAUGAAGGAAAAUUUUAAAAAUUUUAAUUAACACCUUUCUAUGGGAUACAUCCAUCGAUAGAAAACGGGUCCGCCAAGAAUUGCUUCAUGCGGGAGAUGGAUUAUCAAGUGAACCAUAAUGGUGAAGAAGGAAGGUGGGAAGAUUUUUUCCAUGUUGCAUAAAGUCAAAGCGGCUCGAACCUGUACCUUCUAAAGUUCUUGAACAUCCAAAACUUUGCCACAAAUGGCUUUCAUUAUAUUGGAUAGUUCAAUUAUACAAGACGUCACCUUCUUGGACAUACAACAUCGUAGAGCAAUUGGCAGUAAAUCUUGCAUCAAGAUGUGAUAGUCAUGUGAUUUUAGCGAAUAUAUCUUCGAUCUUUAACACUAACACAUCGAGAUAUAUUUGAUGCAUACGCAUCUGGAACCUUUAUAUCCUUCAACACCGUGCAGAACACUUCUUUUUCAGUCUUCGACAUUGAAAAAAUAGAAGGCAGUAACUGAUAUUUCCCAUUCGAAAGUAGAUUGGGAAGAAGAUCAGGUCGAAUUCCCAUUUGGACUAAAUCAAGUCGACUCUGAAGAUUGUCUUUUGAUUUUCCGUCGACAUUCAAAAUUGUACCCACAAUGUUCUCGCAGACAUUUUUCUCAAUAUGCAUAACAUUAAGAUUGUGUCGUAAAAGGUGAUGCUCCCAAUAAGGCAACUCAAAAAAAUACUUCUUUUUUUCCACAAGUCUGCCUCAUUAGGAUCGUCCUCUUCAUCAGAGUCAUCAUUAGCUUCAUCAUUUGAUCUUCUAUUUCUUUGCGUGUUUGGCGGUUGGUUCAUCUUCCCAUAAAUGAAAUUCAUAUCUUCCAACAUGAACAAGAUUUCAGAGCCACUGGUCUGGGAAGGAGCUUCUCUGAACUCUUCAGUACCGUCAAAUAUAGAACUCUAAAAUCUAAAUCUAUGAUUUUUCGGUAACCACUGACGAUGCCCCAUGUAAGAGAACUUCUUCCCAUUGUACAACCAUUGCGAACAUGUUUGUGCAGCACAAUAAGGACACGCAUAAUGACCCUUGGUACUCCAACCGGAUAAAUUGGCAUAAGCGAGAAAGUCAUUAAUGGUCCACAUCAAAUCUACACGUAAAUUAAAGUUCUCAUUUCUCAACACAUCGUAUGUUUUGACACCAGCCCAUAAUUGUUUUAACUCUUCAAUAAGUGGCUGUAAAUUCCUGGGCCCUUUCUCUCUAAGGAUAAUCAUAGAUAAGAUAAGGGAAGAUUGCUUCAUGCAAAUCCACGGAGGCAGAUUGUAAGGAACAAACACUACUGGCCAAGUACUGUACGCAGUGCUCAUGAUCUUGAAAGGAUUAAAUCCAUCAGAUGCUAGUCUAAGCCUCACACUCUUAGGAUCGCUUGCAAAGCUUGGAAAUUUAUUGUCAAAUGAUUUCCAAGCUAAAGAAUCUACCGGAUGCCUUAGUAAUCCAUCAUCGGUUCAUCCAUCAUGGUGCCACGUCAUAGACUCCGCUUUCUUGGACAACAUGAAAAGCCUUUGAAGCCUUGGUAUAAGGGGAAAAUACCGUAAAAUCUUGACUAGCUUCUUCCUCAACUGUGCAUCAUUUUCAUCGUCGUUCCCAUCUUCUGUGUUUCUAUUUAUCCAACGGGAUUGGCCGCAUACAUGACAGCACUGUUGGUUUUUCCGAUCGCCCCAAUACAACAUGCAGUCAUUUGGGCAACUAUGGAUUUUGUUGUACCCAAGGCCUAAAUCUUUUAUCAUUUUCUUCAUAUCUUUGCAUGACUGAGAGAUUUUUGCAAACGGAAACAUUUCUCUCAAAAACUCUAACAGCAUUGUCAACGAGUUUUCGGUCCACCCUCCCAAACAUUUUAACUGAAAAAGAUGAACAUAGAAGGACAUUUUUUAAAAUUUUGAUCCCUCAUACAGUUCUUCGUUCAUGUCAUUAAGUAGAGCGUAGAACUUCGCCGCUUCUCCAUUCGGCUCUUCAUGAGGUACACUACUUCCCGGUUCGAUAAAAGCAGUUCCACCAAUAUUACAAUCAUCAGAUGCCACAAAAUCCGUUGGGAACAACUGCACACCAUGAUUGUGCAUAUUAAAUGCAUCCCGCAACAUACCUUCCAUGUCAUUCCCUCUAUCAGACUGUUGGUAAGUAGUACCAGGAUAAGAUACAUCCAUUGUUGAAGAGGAAGUACUAGGCAGGCAUUCUCCAUGAAAUAACCAUUGUUUAUAACCCCGAACAAACCCAUCAACAAUUAGAUGCUCGUAUACAACCUCACGAUAAUGCCAGCUUAUGUUGACACACUUUUUACACGGGCAAAGAAUCAUGUUCCCUUGGCUUGCAUAUUGAAAUGCAAAAUUUAGAAAAGUCUGUACUCUAUUUCGAUAACUGUUGCUAACCCUUGACAAAUUCAUCCAAGACCGGUCCAUUUCUUAAUUCUUGAAGUCUGACGUUGACAAUAAUUUGCACGGGAAGUUAAAAUGCCAGUUAUAACCAUAAAUGAGUUAUGUAAGUUAUGAUAUGAUAUAUUUUUAUGUAUUAUGUAAGUUAUGUAAGCUAUAUAUUAUGUAUUAUGUAAGAACUGUAAGUAAUGUGAGUUAUGUAAGUAAUGUAUUAUGUAAGUUGUGUAUAAUGUAAGUUAAGAAGGUUAUGUAUUAUGUAAGUUAUUUAAGUAAAUGUUGUAUUAUGUAAGUUAUUUAAGUUAUGUAAGUUAUUUAAUUUAUAUAAGUUAUGUAAGUUAUGUAAGUUAUUUAGUUUAUGUAAGUUAUGUAAGUUAUGUAGGUUAUGUAUUAUGUUAGUUAUUAUGUUAUUAUAUAAGUUAUGCAAGUUUCUAUAUAUGUUUAUAUAUUGUAUGUUAGUUAUUAUGUUAUUAUAUAAGUUAUGCAAGUUAUAUAAGUUAUUUAAGUUGUGUAAAUGUUGUAUUAUGUAAGUUAUGUAUUAUGUAAGAUACGUACGUUGUAUUUUAUGUAAUUUCUGUAUUAUGUAUGUUAUGUAAGUUGUGUAGAAUGUAAGCUAUGUAAGUUAUGUAAGUUAUGUAAGUGGUGUAUUACGUAAGUUGUGUAAGUUAUGUAAGUUAUUAUGUAAGUUAUGCAAGCUUAUAUAAGCUUAUAUAUAAUUAUUUAGAAAACUUAUAAAAUUAAUACUAAUAAAUUUUAUUACUAAUAAAUUUAGAACACUUAUUUAGAAAACUUAUAAAUUUAAUACUAAUAAAUUUAAUACUAAUAUAGAAAACUUAUAAAUUUAGAAAACUUAUAUAGAUAUUAAAACAAUAUAUAAUUAUUUAGAAAACUUAUAAAUUUUAUAGUAAUAAGUUUUAAAUAUAGGUUAUAUACCCAUACCAUAUAUGGGGUGAUAUAUUAAAAAUAUUGGUUUUAAUAGAUAUUAAAUUAUCAUUUACAAUUAUUUUUUAAAUUUAAAAUGUUAUUAUUACAAAAAUUGAAAUAUAGGUUAUAUAUCCAUAUUAAUAUAUGUAAUAUAUAAAAAGAAUAUAAAUUUUAAUAUUUACGAUAUAAUAUUUUUGUCCAAAAUUUAUUGCGUUUUUUGCACGAAUGUAGCAAACCAUAUUCCUUUCUAAGUUGCUGCUGGAAAAUAUUAACAUGCUAGAGAGACUAUGAAAAUUAUGUGUUCAUUUUCUAAGCAUUGCAAACUGUUACCAAUUAAUUAAAAUAUUUCAUUUCAAAUAAAUAAAACCUAACACAUGAGGUACAUCUUGUAUAAAACUAACAAAUAUGAGAAAACCCAAUGUAUAAAAUACGCAGCAUUUAUUUAAAUGCAUAGAUGCAAUUGGCGAUUGCCAAGUUUAAAGCAAAGUCAAAUCCCCUAAUCUUCUUGUCUAUGAAGUCAAAAGUUUAAAGCAAAGUCAAUUUUAAACCCCCAAAUCAGUAACUUACCCUUGUAGAAGAUCAACAACUCCCCAAGCCUUAAUCCUCCAAUAGAUUAGUUGGUCUGUGACCUUCACCAAAACAAUCCAAUAGAUUAAUAGUGAAAAUAAACCCCGAUUCAACAAGGUAACAAAUAACGAAAUAAAGGGCUUUAAUCAAAAGAAAUAUAACCUUAAUCGAAACAAAUAACGAAAAAUCGUGCAAUGUGGAAACAAGGAAACUUACAGUGAAUAGAAGAAGCGGACGACAGAGAAAGUGGGUGACAGAGCGACCACCAGAGUGGAGACGACUACAAUGACAUGAGGGAAUUUGGGGAUUUGGGGAUUUGGGGAAAUGAAAUUGGGGAAAUUGGGGGAAAAGGAAUUGGGGGAAAUGAAAUCGGGGAAGUUGGGGGGAUAGGAAAUGGGAAAUUAGGGAAAUCAGAGUGGGGGAGAUGUAAGGAAAUUCAGCGCUAAACAAACGACGUCGUAUAAGUUAGUUCAAUUAAAAUUUGCGGCGUUUAUAAAUAACGCCACUAACGCAUUAAAAAAUCCUAGACAGAAAAUGACAACGUUUAGCAAACACUUAAAACAUAAUUGCGGCGUUUAUAAUAAAAACGCCACUAAAACAUAUCCUUUACCGGCGUUUUAGUACAAACGCCAUUAAAAACAGUAGAUAAAAACGACAACGUUUAGCGAACACUUGUAACAUAAUUGCGGCAUUUUUAUAAAAACGCCACUAUCACAUAACCUUUUACGGCGUUUUCGUAAAAAUGCCACUAAUAAUGUAGAUAAAAACGACAACGUUUACAGAAGACUAAUAACAUAAUUGCGGCGUUACCUAACAAUGCCACUAACACAUAUCAUUUUACGGCGUUUUGGCAAAAACGCCACUGAAAACGUAGAUAAAAACGACAACAUUUAACAAAGACAAAAAACAUAAUUGCGGCGUUUUUCGUAGAAACGCCACUAAUAUAACUCCUUUUGCGGCAUUUUAGUAAAAACGCCACUAAAAAAUCAGACAAAACGAAACUGUUUUGCUACCUUUCAAUGAAUAUUUGUGGCGUUUUCAAGAAAAACGCCACUACUGGUCAAACUUAAAAUUAUUUUCAAAUUAUUUUAAAUAAUACUAUUUUAUUUUUUUUCUAUUUUUAACAUAUAUUUUUCUAUGUUUUUAGCAUAACCCUUAAAUGUGGGAAAAUAAAAAUUAAACCCUAAACCAUAAGCCCCUAACCCUUAGACUCUAAACCCGUAACCUUUAAACUUUAACCUCUUAAACCCUAAACAAUAAACACUUGACCAUAAACCUACACCAUAAAUCGUAAACACUAAACUCUUAACACUAAACCAUAAACCUUAAACUUUAUACCCUAAACAUGCACCCUAAGCUAUAAACCCUAAAUUAACCAUAAAAUCAUAAAUAAUAAAUUAUAAACCCUAAAAUCAUAAAUCUUAAACCUUAAACGUUAAACCUUAAACCCUAAACUACUAAACCCCAUGAACCCCUAAACCCUUAACCUAUAAACCCUUAAACCCAAAACCCUAAGCCAUUACCCCAUAGACCCUAAGCCCAUAACCCCUAAACCCUAUGCUCCUAACCACUAAACACUAAACCAUAAACCACGAACGGUAAAUCAUGAACUCUAAACUUAAAACUCUAAUCCCAAUAUAAUAAACAUUACUUCAUAAAUCCUAAAACCCUAAACUAUAAAAAUUAAACCUUAAAUACUAAACACUUAAACCUAAAAUAAAUUUAUUUUUACUUGUGGGGCUUACAAUAAAGCGCCACUAAUGUCUCUAAACCUCCACAACAAAACGAAGCCGUUUGCUUAAAUAUAUUUGUGGCGCUUAACACAAAGCGCCUCUAAUGCUUGAAAUUUGCGGCGUUUAUAAAGUUGCGCCGCUAAUGUAACUAAACCUUAACAACAAAACGUUGUUGUUCGCUUAAAAAUUUUUGUGGUGAAACGUAAAAACGUCGCUAAUUAUUGAACUUUGCGGCGUUUAUAGCUAUGCGCCACUAAUAUCUCUAAAAUCUGAAAACUAAAACGUCGUCGUUUGCCUAAAAUGAUUACCACUAAUGCUUGACAUUUGCGGCGUUUCUCGCAAAGCGCCACUAAUGUCCCUAAGCACAACAAGAAACGACGGCGUAUGCUUAAAACAUUUUGCAGCGCUUCCUCUUAAGCGCCGCUAUUGUGUCUAAAACUCAACAAGAUCCAAACGACUUCGUUCUGUAAAAUCUUUUGUGGCGAUUCAGGAAAUCGCCGCCACUAUUGUCCCUAAGACGGCACAUGCUUAUGAAAUUUUCCGGCGCUUCCUCUAAAACGCCGCUAAUGAUUGACUUCAGCGGCGCUUCCAUAAAAGCGCCACUAUUGUGUCUAAAACUCAACAUGAAAAUGCCGUCAUUCGGUAAGAACUUUUGUGGCGUUUCGUGGAAAGCACCGCUAAUACAUGACCUUUUGCGGCAAUUCUUUAUAAACGCCACUAAUGCAAUAAAACGUAAAUCAAAACGGCGUCGUAUAUUAAUCAGUUUUGCGGCGCUUCUUUAAAAGCGCCGCUAAUGCUUCACGUUUGUGGCGUUUUGUUUAAAGCCCCACUAAUGUCUUUGAAGCUGACAAAGAAAACGGUGCCGUUUACCUAACUCUUUUACGGCGCUUUUGGUAAAUCGCCGCUGUUGCCUAUAAUUUACGGCAUUUUUUAGCACUCGCCGCUAUUGCUCGGUUUUUUUGCGGCGUUUUGUGUUAAAACGCCGCUAUAGACGCCGCUAAAGGCCUGUUCUGGUGUAGUGGAGAAAGAAUUUAUAAUUGAUAUAGCAUUUAAAUAACAUAUUUUUAUUAAAUUUAAAAAAUAUAUAUAAAAGAUUUUAUUCUAUUUUUUAAAAGAAACAAUGGUGGGUGAAUUAAUACACCCAAUACAUCAAAUAUAAAUUUUUAUUUUGAUAGAGUCCAAGUAAAUGAUGCUCUAACUACUUUAUGUUCUCAUCAUGUGCAGGAUCUUGUUCAUUUACGGGAAAUUAACCUUUUCAGUUGCAAAAAUUUAAAGAAGAUCCCUAAUUUAUUAGGAGCCCUCAACCUUGAAAAACUUGACUGUGAAAAUUGCGAAAGUUUGGUUAAACUUCCUUCCCUCACCCGUUUGACAUCACUUGAAUCCCUUCGCCUUAAGGGAUGUCGUAGUCUCAAGAAGUUUCCGGAGAUCCCAAAUAACUUUUAUGAGUUAGAUUUAUCAGAAACCGGAAUAAAAGAAGUACCUGAUUUCAUUGAGCAUCUCGACAGACUUCAUCGGUUGACCUUGACAAACUCAAUGGUAAAAGAUGUAUCAAGCAAUAUUUCAAAGUUGAAAUCCCUUUUUUCUCUACAUCUUAGUGGUUGUCCAAUCGUUAAAUUUCCAACUGUUGAUGUGCCCUCACCAAGCUUGAGCUUUGAAAGCCUUAGGUAUAUGCAGAUGGAUCGUUACAAGACCGUCAAAGUCUCAGAGUCUGCACCAUAUCUGCUCGACUUUAUUGAACAUGACUGCAUAUUAUUACGAAGAGUUUCCUUUGCAGAUCAAAAUUUAUAUCAGUUUGAUUCAUCAGAUGAUGAUUAUAUGUUUUUGAUGCUAUUCUUUAAUUGUUUCAACUUGAAUCAAGAGUCAACUAAUAACAUUGAGGCAAAUGCCAUGCUAAAAAUUGGAUCCCUAGCUAAGAAAUGGGCAGCGAGAUAUGGCAGGGAAAAACGGCGUGGUAACUUUCAAAGAUUGAUUUGUUGUUUCCCAGGAAACAAAAUUUCAGCAAAUAUAUUCAAGUGCCAGGGCAUGAAUUCUUCCUUAAGUUUGAAGAUAGCCCCAAAUGGGGGUAGUGGGAGCAGAUUUUUGGUUUUUGCUAUCUGCCUUGUGAUUGAUCUCACUGACUGCCAUCGAUUACUUGAUUGUAGUUGUGAGUACCAACUUACAGCCGCUGGUAGUGGCAAUGGUGGUGGUGGUUAUGAAAAGCUAGGAAGUGUAAUAUCUUUGUUCAAGCUUCCUGAGCCAGAGAAGUGCAUGGGUGAUCACGUGUUUAUUCUAUCUAGCAUCGACAUGGUUAAAGAAGACCAGAAUUAUGAGGAGGCAUCAUUUGAAUUCUACAUCAGAAAUUGGGGUCUAGAAGAUGAAGAUGUAGACAUGAAGGUGGAGAGAUGUGGUGUUCAUGUAUUUUACGUGGAUGCAGAUGAUACAGAUGCUACAGAUGCUACAGAUGCUAUAGAUGAUACAGAUGAUACAGAUGAUACAGAUAUACAGAUGCUACUGAAAAGAAACAUGCUGGGAACUAAAGAAGCUUUAGCCAUGAUGAUGAAGAAGGGGAUGGAGGACUUAAAAGAUUGAAAUAGUUUGUAUUUCUUUCCAUCUUUGGCUCUGCUUUUGAGGACUUUCAACUCCUGAAUAAUGUCAUCCAAAUGCAUAGGUAGGGGUUUCAUUUUCAUCUCAUUUUUUCAUAUUAUGAUAAAAUUUUCAGUUUUCCACAAUUGUUAAUAGUAAAUUUUCAACUUAUAAAUUAGUGACAGAAAAUGAAGUGCUUUAAUUAAUUAAAACCGACCAGGAUGAAUCUAAACUUGCUCUGCGUUAUAAAUUACUUGUCUUCUACAAGGUGCUUUACCAAACUGAAACAUUGUAGUUCCACAUUGUAAAUGUUAAAAGCAUAAUUUAUGAAACAUCAAAUUGGAAAUUUGUUCAACAGUUGUGAUUGUUGCUUACUAUUAUUUUUCUCAUCUUCAUUCCCCUGUCGUGUCUGUGUUCUUUUGUAGAUAUAGCAUAUAUUGUCCAAGAAGGAAAUUCUCCAUAUAUAUUAAUUAAUUUGGAGGAAAAUUGAAUAGUAACUGGAGAUUUCAAUACAGUAGCAAAAUGAUUCUGCUUUGGAGUUGAUAAAAUAUCCAUAGGGGAUUUUGGUGGGUACCAAAAUUCAGAUAUUAAAAUUCAUACUUAAUUCUUACUGACAGUUGACUUGUUAUUGGUUGUUUUUUUUUUUUUUUUAAUUCAUAGGACCAAUGGUGGAGUCGGUUCAGCUUCAUUGUUUAGUUCCAGCGUUGGUAUCAUCUGGUAUCUCAAUACUUGCUGCAUUUUCCUUCACUCAUAUCUUGAUUCAUUAGAAAGAUUGGUUAUUUGUGAGAUUGUUUUUUUCUUAUAUCCUUUGCUUCUGUGUUGAUGUAAGAUUAGGGAAUGACAAAUCUUUGGGAAUGCCACUGCUGAAUUGGAGCUUUAGCCUUACAAGGAGGAACACCUGAGCUGUAAGACCUUCAAUUUUAUUUACUGAAUGCUUGCUUUAUACAAGUGUUUGAACUGAUAUUUGGUGACAAUGCAAGUUGCCAACAGAUUUGUCAACACAAAGUCAAAGUAAUCUUUUGAGCUCCUUUUUGGGUUCUGGCAAUUCAGUCUUGGUGGAGAAGUAAGUUACCUUUGACUUUGACUUAUUAUCAUGAUUUUAUGUUCAUAUAAUGAUUUUCAGCAUCCUCACCAUUUUUCCCAUAUUUAUCAAUGGGAUUAUAUAAAUCCAGAAUUUGCAACAGAUCUCAAAACUCGUGGGAUAAACACAUAGAGCUGGAGGCAACCUUUGACAGUUUUCAUUCUCAAGCUAGAUUGGGUUAGUUUCAUGGUAGAGCUAUUGGAGUUGAUAUUUGUUAAGCUUUGGCCUGCAUUGCAACAAAAGACCAGCAGUAAAAUUCAGCUCUGUCAAGCAGCAGCAUUGUUCUGAAGUGAAGAAAUGAAGCUGGUCCGAAUGCAGCAACUUAUUUUGAGUGUUUUGUUCCUAUGUAACUUUGUCUAGUUCUUUUGUAAUUUGACAGCAAAGUUAGUAGGAUGAUUUGAUUGAUUUGUGUUGAUGUAAUAGCUAGUAUGUUAGCUUUCUUUUAUGUACAAGUUAAGCAUGUUUUUGUUUAUGUAUUAAGUGGGAGCAGUUAACUAUUUGGUAACUAUCCAAUUACCACUACACUAAAAUAAGUUUUUUAGCGGCGUUUUUUUAUGCCUUUAGCGGCGCUUAUUUGUGGCGUUUUUGAAAGCGUCGCAAAAAAUGCCGCUGUCUAACGCCACAAACAUUUGCGGUGUUUUUAGA
rnacentral:lncRNA from 1 species